AGUGAACGCUGGCGGUAGGCCUAACACAUGCAAGUCGAACGGCAGCACAGUAAGAGCUUGCUCUUACGGGUGGCGAGUGGCGGACGGGUGAGGAAUACAUCGGAAUCUACUUUUUCGUGGGGGAUAACGUAGGGAAACUUACGCUAAUACCGCAUACGACCUACGGCUGAAAGCAGGGGAUCUUCGGACCUUGCGCGAUUGAUUGAGCCGAUGUCGGAUUAGCUAGUUGGCGGGGUAAGGGCCCACCAAGGCGACGAUCCGUAGCUGGUCUGAGAGGAUGAUCAGCCACACUGGAACUGAGACACGGUCCAGACUCCUACGGGAGGCAGCAGUGGGGAAUAUUGGACAAUGGGCGCAAGCCUGAUCCAGCCAUACCGCGUGGGUGAAGAAGGCCUUCGGGUUGUAAAGCCCUUUUGUUGGGAAAGAAAAGCAGCAGGUUAAUACCCCGAUGUUCUGACGGUACCCAAAGAAUAAGCACCGGCUAACUUCGUG
rnacentral:rRNA from 1 species